ACUGGUCUGAGAGGAUGAUCAGUCACACUGGAACUGACACACGGUCCAGACUCCUACGGGAGGCAGCAGUGGGGAAUAUUGGACAAUGGGCGAAAGCCUGAUCCAGCCAUGCCGCGUGUGUGAAGAAGGUCUUCGGAUUGAAAAGCACUUUAAGUUGGGAGGAAGGGCAGUAAGUUAAUACCUUGCUGUUUUGACGUUACCGACAGAAUAAGCACCGGCUAACUCUGUGCCAGCAGCCGCGGUAUUACAGAGGGUGCAAGCGUUAAUCGGAAUUACUGGGCGUAAAGCGCGCGUAGGUGGU
rnacentral:rRNA from 1 species